AGAGUUUGAUUAUGGCUCAGGAUGAACGCUGGCGGCGUGCCUAACACAUGCAAGUCGAACGAAGCUCUGGUUACGGAGGCUUCGGCCAAAGCAACCGGAUGACUGAGUGGCGGACGGGUGAGUAACGCGUGGGCAACCUGCCCCAUUAUGGGGGAUAGCAGUUGGAAACGACUGGUAAUACCGCAUAAGCGCACGGGAAGGCAUCUUUCUGUGUGAAAAGAUUUAUCGUAAUGGGAUGGACCCCGCGUCUGAUUAGAUAGUUGGUGAGGUAACGGCCCACCAAGUCGACGAUCAGUAGCCGGACUGAGAGGUCGGACGGCCACAUUGGGACUGAGAGACGGCCCAAACUCCUACGGGAGGCAGCAGUGGGGGAUAUUGCACAAUGGGGGGAACCCUGAUGCAGCGACGCCCGCGUGAGUGAAGAAGUAUUUCGGUAUGUAAAGCUCUAUCGACAGGGAAGAAAGGCCCCGCAAGGGGAGAUGACGGUACCUGAAUAAGAAGCCCCGGCUAACUACGUGCCAGCCGCAGC
rnacentral:rRNA from 1 species